rnacentral:rRNA from 1 species
UACGUAGGGAGCAAGCGUUGUCCGGAAUCAUUGGGCGUAAAGCGCGCGUAGGUGGCCUCGUAAGUCCGCUGUGAAAGUCAAAGGCUCAACCUUUGAAUGUCAGUGGAUACUGCCGGGCUAGAGUCCGGAAGAGGCGAGUGGAACUCCUGGUGUAGCGGUGGAAUGCGCAGAUAUCAGGAAGAACACCAACGGCGAAGGCAGCUCGCUGGGACGGUACUGACGCUGAGACGCGAAAGCGUGGGGAGCGAACAGG